UACGGGGGGAGCAAGCGUUGUUCGGAUUUACUGGGCGUAAAGGGCGCGUAGGCGGUCGUGACAAGUCACAUGAGAAAUCUCCGGGCUUAACUCGGAACGGUCAAGUGAUACUGUCGGACUAGAGUACAGAAGGGGCAACUGGAAUUCUCGGUGUAGCGGUGAAAUGCGUAGAUAUCGAGAGGAACACCUGCGGCGAAGGCGGGUUGCUGGGCUGAUACUGACGCUGAGGCGCGAAAGCCAGGGGAGCGAACGGG
rnacentral:rRNA from 1 species